rnacentral:tRNA from 1 species
GGUUGUGGCUCAGUGGUAGAGCGCUUGCCUAGCAUGCAUGAGGCACCAGAUUCAAUCCCCAGCACCG